UACGUAGGCAGCAAGCGUUGUUCGGAGUUACUGGGCGUAAAGGGUGCGUAGGGGGCUCUAUAAGUAUGGUGUGAAAUCUCCCGGCUUAACUGGGAGGGUGCGCCGUAGACUGUGGGGCUAGAGUGUGGGAGAGGAAAGUGGAAUUCCUGGUGUAGCGGUGAAAUGCGUAGAUAUCAGGAGGAACACCGGUGGUGUAAACGGCUUUCUGGACCAUAACUGACACUGAGGCACGAAAGCGUGGGUAGCAAACAGG
rnacentral:rRNA from 1 species